GUGCUCACUUCGGCAGCACAUAUACUAAAAUUGGAACAAUACAGAGAAGAUUAGCAUGGCUCCUGCGCAAGGAUGACACGCAAUUUUGUGAAGCAUUCAAUAUUUUU
ensembl:snRNA U6 U6 spliceosomal RNA